UGCUAAUUAAGGUUGCUUUCCCCUCUCUCUCUCUCUCUCUCUUUAUGUUAGCUCGUGGGCACGGUGGAGAGCUCGAGCUUAGGAGGUUUUCGUCGUCGACGUCGCGCCGCGGUGCCGUUCGAGCGUGCGUUCGUCGUCAUAGCGUUGUGAGGAGGCCGGGCAAGGGUGUGAUUCCGCCGUUCUCGACGUCGCGCCGGGUUGGAUUUAGCUACCGAGAGCCUGCUGUUCCGCCUGCUGUGUCUUCAGAGGCUGAUCGAGGCAAGGGCGUCGCGAGCUAGAGCCCUACCCGACGAAUCGCCGUGCUAGAGGAUCACCAGCUGCAGGUCUCUCCACCAUAUCAUUAGCUGGCACCGAUGCAUUGUCAGAUGUAAUGGUUUUGUACAAGCACAUAAGAUGCGAGGAGAGAGAUGGCACGGGACAAAAGCAACACGGAGGUCAAAGUAGGGGCGUUCACCAUCGAUGAUGUUUACGUGAACGAACUGUAUGAAUUCCAGUUUGAAGAAACAGAUAGUAUAAACUCAGCAAGUACUAUGAGAAAGAAAGAAUUCUACCGGACGUCCGCAAUAAGUUAGCAAGGAAGGCAGACUUACUAACUGAGAAAGGGUUCUAUUUCAGAAUAUAAUCUAUUGGCCGGAACAAAUAAAAGAUGACUCGGUGCUGAUUCUUAAGAUUCUGAAUUUAGAGAAGAAUGUAAUGCAAAACUACAGCUUAUAACAAGGAGCACUUAGCGUAAAAAGCAUGAGAAAAAUGUUUGCUCCUAAGAUGUACAGAAGAUACUGCCUCUUGAACAUGAAGCAAACUCCACAUGUGAGUCAA